AAGCACUUGACCGGCUGGAGACAGAGCGAGAGACUGAGUGACACCCCGCCGACGGCAGCGCCUGACAGCUCACCGGAUCUCUUCGUGGGAACGGCAGUAAAAACACUGGAGUGAAUCCUGACUCAUCUUCAGCGCAGAAAACCUCGCCCUUCCUCCUCAGCCUCCCAUGGGUCAAACACACUGCUUUCUGUUUUCACCAGGUGUGUGUGUGUGUGUGUGUUGCUUUUAUUUAGC